AAGUAAAAGUCGUAACAAGGUUUCCGUAGGUGAACCUGCGGAAGGAUCAUUAACCUUUCAAAAAACAGGGUGCGUCGCGGCCCCCCUCCGGGGGCGGUUUGGGGUCCUCCCCUUCACGCGCGCACGACUGCAUCCUUACUUUACGAGCACCUUCUGUUCUCCCUCGGCGGGGCAACCUGCCGUUGGAACCGAAUAAACCCUUUUUUGCAUCCAGCAUUACCCGUUCCGAAACAAACAAUCGUUACAACUUUCAACAAUGGAUCUCUUGGCUCUGGCAUCGAUGAAGAACGCAGCGAAAUGCGAUAAGUAGUGUGAAUUGCAGAAUUCAGUGAAUCAUCGAAUCUUUGAACGCACAUUGCGCCCCUUGGUAUUCCGGGGGGCAUGCCUGUUCGAGCGUCAUCUACACCCUCAAGCUCUGCUUGGUGUUGGGCGUCUGUCCCGCCUCAGCGCGCGGACUCGCCCCAAAUCCAUUGGCAGCGGUCCUUGCCUCCUCUCGCGCAGCACAUUGCGCUUCUCGAGGGGCUCCGGCCCGCGUCCAACAAGAAAACAUUACCGUCUUUGACCUCGGAUCAGGUAGGGAUACCCGCUGAACUUAAGCAUAUC
rnacentral:rRNA from 1 species